GUAAACGGCGGCCGUAACUAUAACGGUCCUAAGGUAGCGAAAUUCCUUGUCGGGUAAGUUCCGACCUGCACGAAUGGCGUAAUGAUGGCCAGGCUGUCUCCACCCGAGACUCAGUGAAAUUGAACUCGCUGUGAAGAUGCAGUGUACCCGCGGCAAGACGGAAAGACCCCGUGAACCUUUACUAUAGCUUGACACUGAACAUUGAGCCUUGAUGUGUAGGAUAGGUGGGAGGCUUUGAAGUGUGGACGCCAGUCUGCAUGGAGCCGACCUUGAAAUACCACCCUUUAAUGUUUGAUGUUCUAACGUUGACCCGUGAUCCGGGUUGCGGACAGUGUCUGGUGGGUAGUUUGACUGGGGCGGUCUCCUCCUAAAGAGUAACGGAGGAGCACGAAGGUUGGCUAAUCCUGGUCGGACAUCAGGAGGUUAGUGCAAUGGCAUAAGCCAGCUUGACUGCGAGCGUGACGGCGCGAGCAGGUGCGAAAGCAGGUCAUAGUGAUCCGGUGGUUCUGAAUGGAAGGGCCAUCGCUCAACGGAUAAAAGGUACUCCGGGGAUAACAGGCUGAUACCGCCCAAGAGUUCAUAUCGACGGCGGUGUUUGGCACCUCGAUGUCGGCUCAUCACAUCCUGGGGCUGAAGUAGGUCCCAAGGGUAUGGCUGUUCGCCAUUUAAAGUGGUACGCGAGCUGGGUUUAGAACGUCGUGAGACAGUUCGGUCCCUAUCUGCCGUGGGCGCUGGAGAACUGAGGGGGGCUGCUCCUAGUACGAGAGGACCGGAGUGGACGCAUCACUGGUGUUCGGGUUGUCAUGCCAAUGGCACUGCCCGGUAGCUAAAUGCGGAAGAGAUAAGUGCUGAAAGCAUCUAAGCACGAAACUUGCCCCGAGAUGAGUUCUCCCUGACUCCUUGAGAGUCCUGAAGGAACGUUGAAGACGACGACGUUGAUAGGCCGGGUGUGUAAGCGCAGCGAUGCGUUGAGCUAACCGGUACUAAUGAACCGUGAGG
rnacentral:rRNA from 1 species